UUUUGCCUCCUUUAGGGAAACUGACGUCCCUUGAAUCAUUGCAUAUUCGGAGACUCGGUAGAGUCUCAAAGGUAGGAGUUGAGUUUUUGGGAAUAGAUGAUGGGCAAACCUCGUCGUCUUCCAUUUUCAUAUCAUUCCCCAAGCUUAAACAACUCACCUUCGAGUCCAUGUCCUCAUGGGAAGAGUGGGUAGGAGCAGAAAAUAAUAUUACAAUCAUGCCAUGCCUCUCUCAGUUGACAUUCAUGUACUGCUGGAAGCUAAAAGCACUGCCGGACUUCCUGUGGAAGACACCACUACAGAAAUUGCACAUCUCCAAUUCUCUAAUUCUCCACGACCUUUACAGACAAGGAAUUGGUGAGGAGUGGGCCAAGAUUUCUCACAUCCCAACCAUCGUGAUAGAAGACUACUAAUCUGGAUGAUGCAUCUCAAAGUCCAGGCUUCAGCUUCUCUUGAAACAAGCACAUUUCUCUAUCAUUCGUCAUAUAUAUUUCAACCUGGGAUGCAUGUCCAAUGCAAGUCAAUAUUGGAGGGGACAAGGAAACAUCAAUUGAGCAUCAAGCAUUAUCUUCCCCUAGCCUUCAGAUACAUCAGUGAUUAGUUGAACAUGAGCUAGCAGAGUUAUAGCAUAGACCAAACCUAGGAGGGUACUAAAGAGGUCAAACACUUGAGGUGGUCAUACAUUUGCUACCUCAGAUGCUCAACUUUCUAUCAAUUUUACCCGUAUUUACUUAUUCACCUUGAUACAGAUGAUGAUUCAUGGCCACGUGAAUAGCUAAAGGGAUUGUUGGACUUCCAAUUCCAAUACUAGAUGAUCUUCACCACUAAGAUGUGAACCGCACCAGGCUACUUGUACUGCUCGUAUUGAAGCUUCAUGCAUUCAAUGUGGCAUCUGAAUUUGGGAAGCUGCAUACGUACAAACUUGUAGAUUAUAUUACAACUUGAAGUUCUUGGUUUUCAAGUUGGACUAUUAGCAAGUCACGUAAAAGCUUUUGAUUAAUUACAUGGACCGAGGAUGGUCUUAGUCAAGACUAUCUCUUCCAUUGUCUGGACUUUAUUAGACUUACUGGGAAGCUAUGCAAAGUUGUGACAAUGAGCUGUCAUUGGAGAAGUUCAACUUGGGAUUGUUCCUUUGGUCUAAGUAGGUUAUGCUAGCUUGUGUAUCCUUCUGCUAUAUCGUCAUUGUUUAUAUAGGUGAUCAUGACUGUCAGGAGCUUAAGAGGUCACAAACAGCACCAGUUAGAGACAUGUUCUUAAAGCAUUGAAAGAAGGCAUGAGGGAACUGAAGGCUGCCGGUUCGAAGACCUUCCUGUUUGGUUAUGAUACUCUUCUUCCUCUGAUGCUGGAAAUUGAGUCCUUAUCAAGUACAUUUCAGAAAGAUUGCAAGCACCCUUCUGUGUAUGGAAUUGGGAGGUUAGGCUUCAAAGUUCUGUUGGUUAGACUCCUGAAGAUGAGAUGACCCUCAGAAGAAAAUCGCACCAACAUACAUGUACAGCUCACACUGAGGCUUCAUUUAGAAUGGCCUUGGAGUUGCAAAGAUGAUGGGAUGCUAAUAUGAUAAGCUCUCUAUGUCAUAACUCAUUACCUGAAGUUCUGAGUUCAUGUGUGUUUGUGGCACAUAUAUGGCUCUGUAAGACUGUGACUGUGAGACUGAGUUAAGGAUCACAGAUUGCUUUAAUUUUUUGGUUAUUUGGGUGUACCUAGGUUGGACUGUUGGAGCAAUGCAUCUGAGGCAGCAAUCAGACCUACAUUUGACAAGCUGUGGGGUGGCCAUGACAGAUCAAAGAAGGAGGAUUGGGCAAGUACUCAUGCAUCCAAUAUUUGAUUGGGAGCCCAACCCAGGUCUCAGUUCCCUAUUCCUUUUUGCUGAUACGAAUUUGCCUGUAUGCUGAUCUCUACUUGUGCUGAGAGGAUAAUCAAGGUGCAGUCCAACCACCAUUCCUUUCAGGAGAAUGUCAAGCAACAAUAUUACAACAUGCAACUACAAACUUACUUUGUGUCACUCAUUCGACUGACGGAUGAGGCUAUCUUACCUAAACUACGUAAUUUUUCAUAACCAUCUUUGAUUGCUUUUCACCUUUUGGUUAAUUCGAUGUAUUAAGGAUGGUGCCUACUGCCUAGCCAAGCAGCUGAAGCAUCUCUUUGAGUGUCUCGACUUUAUUAGGAAGCUAUGCAUGGUUUUGAGGAGUGAGGUGUGACUAUGAGCCAUCAUAGAAGAUUGUUCAACUUGGGAUUGUUUCUUUUGUCUACCUAGAAGAAAAUCGUACCAAGAUACAUGUAGAGCUAAUAUAUACCGAUGCUGGAAGCAUUUAGAAUCGCCUUGGAGUUGAAAGCCUGAUCGAAUUGUACUUUGGUGGAGGAUGGGAAUAAUGAUCUGCCAAUAUCUGAUUGUAAUCCCAACUCGACCAACUUCCAAACAGGUCUCACUUCCCCAUUAAUGUGACAGAGUGAUGGACUAACAUCGAAUCACCGACUUCUUUGAACCUGCCUUAAAGAUUCUCUACUUAUGCAGAGAGGAUAAGCACUACAUCUUCCUUCAUCAACAGAAUCUUCCUUGUAGUUUGUCUGCCAAACAAAGACAGCACGAGCUGAAAUGAGUGAAGAACUGUUGACUAGCUUGUUGUCAGAGACGGAUACAUUAACUGCCACAGAACCAGUGACUGUUCCAGGAAUGAAGCUACUAGCUAGGCAGCUCAUGGCUUCCUAACAUACUGAACUGAACUCCCUAUCAGCUUUAAUUAAUUCUGCGGCUUGAUUUCUUAAACAUACAGGAAAUGAUGAUUCUCGGUCAUGUAUACAGCUGAAAGGAUUCUGGACUUUUCAAAGACAAGAUGAUCCUCCGCCCCUCAGGUUAAAGAAUUCCUCUAUUUACAUAAUUCAGCAUAUAUUGUAGAUGCUACUACAUUGAAGCUUGAAGCAUCAAGAAUGGCAUCAGAGUUUUCAAGCUGAUGGGAUGCUAAUUCGAUACUGAGCUUGGAGUAGCUUAGUCAAGCAGCUGAGCAUCUCCUCUAAUUAUGUAUCAAUUGUACAUGAGAAUCGCACCAGGCUACCUGUACUGCUCAUAUUGAAGCUUGAUGCAUUCAGAAUGGCCUCAGACUAUCAGAGUGCGAAAAUCUUUUGGUUAAUCACAUGGGCCGAGGAUGGAGCUGAGUCAAGAGCAUCUCUUCCAAGCGUCUGGACCUUAUUGGGAAGGUAUGCAAGAGGAUGGUGCAAAUGAUCAUGAAUCCAAUACUUGAUCCGAAGUUCAACUGAUAUUCAUGUUGAUACUCUGAUAUCAUGUUUUCAAAUAUUGCAAAA